rnacentral:rRNA from 1 species
GACGAACGCCGGCGGCGUGCUUAACACAUGCAAGUCGAACGGAAAGGCCCUGCUUUUGUGGGGUGCUCGAGUGGCGAACGGGUGAGUAACACGUGAGUAACCUGCCCUUGACUUUGGGAUAACUUCAGGAAACUGGGGCUAAUACCGGAUAGGAGCUCCUGCUGCAUGGUGGGGGUUGGAAAGUUUCGGCGGUUGGGGAUGGACUCGCGGCUUAUCAGCUUGUUGGUGGGGUAGUGGCUUACCAAGGCUUUGACGGGUAGCCGGCCUGAGAGGGUGACCGGCCACAUUGGGACUGAGAUACGGCCCAGAGUCCUACGGGAGGCAGCAGUGGGGAAUAUUGCACAAUGGGCGGAAGCCUGAUGCAGCAACGCCGCGUGCGGGAUGACGGCCUUCGGGUUGUAAACCGCUUUCGCCUGUGACGAAGCGUGAGUGGCGGUAAUGGGUAAAGAAGCACCGGCUAACUACGUG